CCUACGGGUGGCAGCAGUGAGGAAUAUUGGUCAAUGGACGCAAGUCUGAACCAGCCAAGUAGCGUGAAGGAUGACGGCCCUAUGGGUUGUAAACUUCUUUUAUACGGGAAUAAACUGAGUCACGUGUGGCUUUUUGAAUGUACCAUAUGAAUAAGGAUCGGCUAACUCCGUGCCAGCAGCCGCGGUAAUACGGAGGAUCCGAGCGUUAUCCGGAUUUAUUGGGUUUAAAGGGAGCGUAGGCGGUCUGUUAAGUCAGAUGUGAAAGUCUGAGGCUCAACCGUGGAAUUGCAGUUGAAACUGGCAGCCUUGAGUGCAGUAGAGGUUGGCGGAAUGCAUGGUGUAGCGGUGAAAUGCUUAGAUAUCAUGAAGAACUCCGAUUGCGAAGGCAGCUGACCGGGCUGCAACUGACGCUGAGGCUCGAAAGUGUGGGUAUCAAACAGGAUUAGAUACCCCGGUAGUC
rnacentral:rRNA from 1 species